rnacentral:rRNA from 1 species
AACACUUUAUUAAACCAAUAUCUGAGAAAAUUUUAAUAAAUAAAUUAAAACUUUCAACAACGGAUCUCUUGGUUCUCGCAUCGAUGAAGAACGCAGCAAAAUGCGAUAAGUAAUGUGAAUUGCAGAAUUGUGAAUCAUCGAAUCUUUGAACGCACAUUGCGCCUUUUGGAAUUCCGAAAGGCAUGCCUGUUUGAGCGUCAU